GACCACGUAGCUCAGUUGGCAGAGCAUUGGACUAGCAUCCCAAAGGUCGCGGGUUCGAUUCCCACCCUGGCCA